UGCAUAAACUGUCUGUCACACCAAAGGGUUACAGUCUUGUGCCGGCGCUGCCAGCUAUCGAGUCGUGCUUCCUUAGAGAAGGGGACAACAUACGAGACACGCGUGGGGUCAGAGGUCGGGGGCAGUAAUUCUUGACCGGUGGCCUCCGCAGACCUCCCAGCACGCCCCUAGAGAGAGGGUCAGCCUACUGGUCAAACAGGGCGGUAUAUCAUACGCUGACAACACAGCCUUUGUCCUCGACUGAUCAACAUGACAGGGGUGUGAAUCGCUGUUAAUGCAACAUUGUCUAUCUGGUCAAAGGUGGGCCAAUAAAAAUGGAGUGGGAAAUCGUUGAAGCGCUGAACUCCAUAUUACCGUUCGUGAUGACUGAAACUGUGCUGUCUGGCGAACACCACUUUUCCAAGUACAAGAGAAGUCGGUAAUUAGUGACGAGGGAAUAAGUAAGUCAUUACAGGUCUGCGAUGAGGGCACCAACUCCACCGCUGCCACUGCUGCAGGGGUCGACCGGUCACUACCUGCCCGCGCCUGACUGAGCCGGAAGUAACGGUGUUUGCACACAGAGACCGGUGGUCAUCCCCUCACGCCCCGCUCACCUCUAACCCCCGUUUGAUGGACCCCAACUCACCCCACUGAGUUAUGGGGUUGCGACUGGCCUGCGGUCUCUACCACCCGACAUCCCGGCAUCAAAUUGUCGUUUGUCUUCCUCAGAGCUGUCCACUGUCCAUCUGCUGGCACAAGCCAACGUCGUGUAUCGUCCUUCUGCGUAGUGGAACAUAACGAGGAGAGGCGGAGCGGAGACGGGACAUCAUUAAGAAUGUAUCGGCAGUGCUCAGUCGCCUGUGACGUGUUUGAGUUGCCAACUUCCUGCGACGGCGACAGCGACGGCAGGAUAAAUACGGCCUCAGGAUCUCCACUCAACUCUCGCGAGCUUCAAUAGGAAACCGUCAACUACUUCUGUGCAGAUUCUGUCUACCAUCUCAUCUGUGGGUGUGGAUACAAGACGACAAGAUCAUUGCAAAACACUAUGUCAUAGUAAACAUGGUUUAAACAUUAAA